rnacentral:rRNA from 1 species
GACGGAGGGUGCAAGCGUUGUUCGGAAUCACUGGGCGUAAAGCGCGUGUAGGCGGUUCGAUAAGUCGGACGUGAAAGCUCCGGGCUCAACUCGGAAAGUGCGUUUGAAACUAUCAGGCUUGAGUACGGGAGAGGAAGGCGGAAUUCCCAGUGUAGAGGUGAAAUUCGUAGAUAUUGGGAGGAACACCGGUGGCGAAGGCGGCCUUCUGGACCGAUACUGACGCUGAGACGCGAAAGCGUGGGGAGCAAACAGGAUUAGAUACCCCUGUAGUCC